rnacentral:rRNA from 1 species
CUCUCGGCAACGGAUAUCUCGGCUCUCGCAUCGAUGAAGAACGUAGCGAAAUGCGAUACUUGGUGUGAAUUGCAGAAUCCCGUGAACCAUCGAGUCUUUGAACGCAAGUUGCGCCCGAAGCCUAGGCCAAGGGCACGUCUGCCUGGGCGUCUCAC